rnacentral:lncRNA from 1 species
GUAGAAUUACUGUUGGGAAGUAACUAUGGCAUUAAGGUCUUCCAAGAAGCAGAUGCCAAGAUGGGCUCAAAUGUGCAAGAUAUUUAUGGAAAACCACCUAUGAAGGACAAAGGAACAGAGAACAAGAGCCUUCCCCCAUGUCUAAUACCUGUGAAAGGAGAGAGAGAAGGAAGAAUUUAGUAGGAAGAGCCUGAGGUUGCUGCUUAGUUCUGAGAAAGCCUCAGCGAGGCCGAUGGAGAGCCCUUGAGCUGAGGUUGCCCAUUAGACAAAUUCUGCAUCAGAUGAGGGAAGGAAUCAUAAUUGGCUAACAAGAGGAGAUACAUUUGACUAUGUUAAGAGAACUGGAGGUGCUGAUCAGAAACCCACAAAUAUCUGCCAGGCUGGCAACAGACCCUAAAGAGAGGAAACUUGUGAAAAUCUCAGAAGAGGAUAUGGGAAGCAAAUGAGAUUAACAAAAAACAGUUGAGGAGCAAGCUAAAUUCCUACAGGCAAUAGUGGGACCAGAGCUCAUAGGCUGGCACCAAUAGUACAGUUUGGUCCCAAGGAGAAGCAGCAAGGCCAUGCAGGGAAUCACAUAAACAGAUCAGAAACUGAAGUUUGGCUUGCUGACGUGACUUGCUCAAGGUCACAUAGCUACGAAUUGUAGACCUAGAACUAAAAACAUCCUGGCUCCUUGUCUAGUUUUUAUUGCUCUAUCCCAGGUUGUCUAGCUUAACUAACUCUUGCUUCAUGGAGCUUGUAGGAAAGGAUGCCCUGCAAAUGCAGGACGUAAGCAUCUGGGGAAUAUAUCCAAUCAUUCUUGCA